rnacentral:rRNA from 1 species
GGUUAAGUGACCAACGUACACAGUAGAUGCCUAAGCAGUCAGAAGCGAUGAAGGGCGUGCUAAUCUGCGAAAAGCGCCGGUAAAGUAAUAUGAAGCGUUAUAGCCAGCGACACCCGAAUGAGAAAACCCAGAGUGGUACGUCACACUAUCGUUAAGUGAAUACAUAGCUUCACGAAGCAAACCGGGGAAACUGAAACAUCUAAGUACCCCGAGGAAAAGAAAUCAACCGAGAUCCCCCAGUAGCGGCGAGCAAACGGGGGCCAGCCAGAACCUAAAUCAGCGAGCGUGUUAGUGGAAGCGUCUGAAAAGUCGCGCAGUAAAGGGUAAUAGCCCCGUACACAAAAAUGCACUAGCUGUGAGUUCAAAAGAACCCGGGCGAGGGAGGUCGUGUACGUACGAGCAGUAGAGGCACCGUUGAGGUGUGACUGUGCGCCUUUUGUAUUAUGGGUCAGCGACCUAUAUUUUUUAGCAAGGUUAAUCGCAUAAGGGAGCCGUAGGUAAACCAAGUCUUAACUGGGCGAAAAGCUGCAAGGUAUAAACCCAAAACCCGGCGAUCUAGCCACGGGCAUGCUGAAGCCUGGGUAGCACCACCCGGAAGACCGAACCGGCUAAUCCUGAAAAAUUAGCGGAUGACCUGUGGCUGGUGGUGAAAGCAAAUCAAACUGGGAGAUAGCUGGUUCUCCCCGAAAGCUAUUUAGGUAGAGCCUCGUGAACAACCCGAUGCAAACUGCGAAUACCGAAGCAUGUUAUCACGGGAAACACACGGCGGGUGCUAACUGUCGGCUUAGAAGCAGCCAUCAUUAAAAGAAAAAAAGCGUAAUAGCUCACUGCUCGAGUCGGCCUGCGCGGAAGAUGUAACAAGGCUAAACCAUACACCGAAGCUGCGGCAGCGGCGCUGAUGCGUUGUUGGGUGGGGGAGCGUUCUGUAAGCCGCUGAAGGUGUCCUGUGAGAGCUGAAGGUGUCCUGUGAGAAAUGCCAGAGGUAUCAAAAGUGCGAAUGCCGACAUAGGUAACGAUAAAGCGAGUGAAAAACCCGCUCGCUGGAAGACCAAAGGUUCGUGUCCAACGCUAAUCGGGGCAAGGCGAGUCGACCCCUAAGGCGAGGCUGAAAAGCGUAGUCAAGCUGCCUCAGGCGUCAGGCUAGUACUCCUGUACUGGGUGCGGCUGCAAAGGGGGGACGAAGAAGGCCAGGUAGUCCAGGCGACGGUCGUCCGGGCUUAAGCUUGCAGGGGGUUUUGGGUAAAUCCAGAACGCCAUACAUAAACCCUGAAGCGUAAUGACAGUGCACCAAGGUUCGGAAGCUGAUGGUGCACUGCCUCCAGGAAAAGCCUCUAAGCAUCAGGCCACCUUUAAUCGUACCCCAAACCGACACAGGCAGCCAAGUACAGGCAGCCAAGUAAAGAAUACCGAGGCGCCUGAGAUAACUCAGGUAAAAAAACUAGGCAAAAUGGUGCCGUAACUUCGGGAGGAGGCACGCUAGCAUGUAGGUAAAUUCCGUAUCGGAGGGAGCUGAAGCCAGUCGCAGAGACCAGCUGGCUGCAACUGUUUAAUAAAAACACAGCACUGUGCCAACACGAAAGUGAACGUAUACGGUAUGACGCCCGCCCGGUGCUAGAAAGUUAAUUGAUGGGGUUAGCUGCAAGGCAAAGAUCUUGAUCGAAGCCCCAGUAAACGGCGGCCAUAACUAUAACAGUCCUAAGGUAGCGAAAUUCCUUGUCAGGUAAGCUCCGACCUGCACGAAUAGCGUAAUGAUGGCCAGGCUAUCUCCACCCGAGAGUCAGUGAAAUUGAACUCGCUGUGAAUAUGCAGUGCACCCGCGGCAAGACGGAAAAACCCCGUAAACCUUUACUAUAGCUUGACACUGAACAUAAAGCCUUGAUGUGUAGGAUAGGUGGGAGGCAGUGAAUCGUGGACGCCAGUCUGAGAGGAGCCACCCUUGAAAUACCACCCUUUAAUGUCUGAUGUUCUAACUUUGCCCCGUGAUCCGGGGUAAGGACCGUGUCUGGCGGGUAGUUUGACCGCGGCGGCAUCCUCCCAAAGAGUAACGGAGGAUGCACAAAAGUCGGCUAAUCACGGUCGGACAUCGCGAGUUUAAUGCAAAGGCAUAAGCUGGCUUGACUGCGAGAGUGACGGUUCGAGCAGAUACGAAAGCAGGUCUUAGUGAUCCGGUGGUUCUGAAUAGAAAGGCCACCGCUCAACGGAUAAAAGGUACUGCGGGGAUAACAAACUGAUACCGCCCAAGAGUUCAUAUCGACGGCGGCGUUUGGCACCUCGAUCUCGGCUCAUCACAUCCUGGGGCUAAAGUACGUCCCAAGGGUAUGGCUAUUCGCCAUUUAAAGUGGUACGCGAGCUGGGUUUAGAACGUCGUGAGACAGUUCGGUCCCUAUCUGCCGCGGGCGUAGGAAGAUUGAGAGGGAUUGCUCCUAGCACGAGAGGAGCGGAGUAAACGCACAGCUGGUGUUCGGGUUGUCAUGCCAAUGCAUUGACCGGCAGCUAAGUGCGGAACAGAUAAGCGCUGAAAGCAUCUAAGCGCGAAACUGGCCUCGAGAUGAGUCCUCCCUGGGUCUAAGAGGUCCCUGAAGGCACGCUUAAGACAAAGACGUGGAUAGGCUGGGUGUGUAAAAGCAGUGAUGCUUUAAGCUAACCAGUACUAAUGAGCCAUAAAGCUUAACCUU